AGCGAACGCUGGCGGCAGGCUUAACACAUGCCAGUCGAGCGGGCAUAGCAAUAUGUCGGCGGCAGACGGGUGGGUAACGCGUGGGAACGUACCUUUUGGUUCGGAACAACACAGGGAAACGUGUGCUAAUACCGGAUAAGCCCUUACGGGGAAAGAUUUAUCGCCGCAAGAUCGGCGCGCGGCUGAGUAGCUAGUUGGUGAGGUAAUGGCUCGCCAAGGCGACGAUCAGUAGCUGGUCUGAGAGGAUGAUCAGCCACAUUGGGACUGAGACACGGCGCAAACUCCUACGGGAGGCAGCAGUGGGGAAUAUUAGACAAUGAGCGCGAGCCUGAUCCAGCCAUGCCGCGUGAGUGAUGAAGGCCCUAGGGUUGUAAAGCUCUUUUGUGCGGGAAGAUAAUGACGGUACCGGAAGAAUAAGCCCCGGCUAACUUCGUG
rnacentral:rRNA from 1 species